rnacentral:lncRNA from 1 species
CGCUAAUGUCUUCAAAGCCGGGCUCAUCUCGAGCUCUCAUAUUCCCUCUUUGGUGCUCAUCCACACUAAAGUCUCCCACUAUGCUAGUGGGUUUUGACAUCCGAUGACAAUUAAGGAAAGGCGCUCCAAUACUCUUUGGAGCCUGUCGAUUAUCCUCCUCUGGAUCCAUCCAAAGAGGGUUUCAUAGCCCUGGGGAUACGAGCCAUGCUAAUAACUUUGCUCUUCAGA